rnacentral:ncRNA from 1 species
GUUGAGGAUAAGGCCAAAAGCUCAAUUUACUGUGCCUUUUUGUACUAGGAUCAGUUACGAAAGUAAGGCCUAACGAUCCCUAAAUAGCCUCAGGUGCGUGAGGAUUGGGGUGACAGACAAGUUACCUCCGGGACAACUGGCUUGUGGCUGCUAAGAGAUCAAAUCAACGCAGCUUUUUGAUUCUUCGAUGUCGGCUCUUCCUAUCCUAGUGAUGUACAAGUUGCUAAGGGUCGGAUUGUUCACCCGUAUUAGGGAUCGUGAGCUGGGUUUAGACCGUCGUGAGCCAGGUUUGUUUUAUCCUACUGGAUAUAGCAUCAUGAUAGUAGAUUGAUUUAGUACGAGAGGAACUGUUGAUUAUGGCCUCUGGUUAGCGAUUAUCGGAAACGGUAUGUCGCGCAGCUACGCCGUCUGGGAUAAUGGCUGAAAGCCUCUUAAGCCAGAAGCCCAUCUAGAAAGUGAUGCACGUGAUGUUGGACCGAUACGAAUAAUCAUACUCAAAAGGUCCGCUUCAUAGGUAACCCAAUGUAGAAGACAUUGUGUGAACGAAGGUACUGUAAGCAGUGGAGUGGCAUUACGUCCACGACCUGUUGAGGUUCAGCUUCGCUUCUAGGUUUCC